rnacentral:lncRNA from 10 species
GAGCUGGGCCGGGGCUCCCGCGGGGACGGUUGCGUAUGCCGUUUGUUCCCCUUUUGUGCCCCGUUUGUGCCGUUUGUUCCCCUACGCACAGCGGAAUUUGGCCUGACCCGGCUUAUGAGUCUAAAGCUUCGGUGGCGGAGACCUGCGCUUCUCGCAAUUGUAGCCUUCCAAAGCGCGUACACAGACACACACACACACACACACACACACACACACACACACACACACACACACACACACACACACCUUUUUGGGGUCACCAUUUGCAAGUAAGUUACAGACAUUGUAACACUUAACCCUUUAACAUUGCAGACAUUGUAACACUUAAC